GAGCGGUAACAGGUGUAGCAAUACAUGCUGACGAGCGGCGAACGGGUGAGUAAUGCUUUGGAAUCUUCCCAGUAGUGGGGAAUAACCAGUCGAAAGAUUGGCUAAUACCGCAUACGUCUGUAAAGGGAAAGCGGGGGCUCGUAAGACCUCGCGCUAUUGGAUGAGCCAAAGUCGGAUUAGCUAGUUGGUGGGGUAAUGGCCUACCAAGGCGACAAUCCGUAGCUGGUCUGAGAGGACGACCAGCCACACCGGAACUGAGACACGGCCCAGACUCCUACGGGAGGCAGCAGUGGGGAAUUUUGGACAAUGGGGGCAACCCUGAUCCAGCAAUGCCGCGUGAGUGAAGAAGGCCUUCGGGUUGUAAAGCUCCUUUGUCAGGGAAGAAAUGGUUCGCUCUAAUAUAGCGGAUCGAUGACGGUACCUGAAGAAUAAGCACCGGCUAACUACGUG
rnacentral:rRNA from 1 species